rnacentral:misc_RNA from 1 species
CUGAUCUUGACAUAAAAAUACCUGCUGUUAUGCUACCACAAGAUGCUGGUGCAAGCUUGGAAAAAAUGCUAUUGAAUAGUUCAUCAGUGUCUGUGCAGCUAUACUCUCCAAAGCGGCCACUAGUUGAUAUAGCCGAAGUAUUUUUGUGGCUGAUGGCAGUUGUUACCAUAUUGUGUGGAUCUUACUGGUCUGCAUGGAGUGCCAGC